GCCCGGAUGGUGGAAUUGGUAGACACGCUGGAUUUAGGAUCCAGUGCCGCAAGGUGUGAGGGUUCAAGUCCCUCUCCGGGCACCA
rnacentral:tRNA from 1 species